rnacentral:miRNA from 1 species
GCUGACACAUCCCUGCCAAUCUCCGGCAGACCCUCCCUCCCAGACGCUCCCACCUCCUGGACAGCAUCCAUGUUGAAGCUGCCUUCAACAUGGAUGCUGUCCAGGAAGUAGGAGGGUCUGGGAGGGAGGGUUUGCUGGAGAUUGGCUGGGAUGUGUCAG